rnacentral:rRNA from 1 species
UACGUAGGGGGCAAGCGUUGUCCGGAAUCAUUGGGCGUAAAGAGCGUGUAGGCGGUCCGAUAAGUCGGUUGUGAAAGUCAAGGGCUCAACCCUUGAAUGCCGACCGAUACUGUCGGGCUAGAGUCCGGAAGAGGCGAGUGGAAUUCCUGGUGUAGCGGUGAAAUGCGCAGAUAUCAGGAGGAACACCCGUGGCGAAGGCGGCUCUCUGGGACGGUACUGACGCUGAGACGCGAAAGCGUGGGGAGCGAACAGG